GAGUUGUUACUAAAAUGAUGUAUGUUGAUUUAAUGUCAUGAAUACUCUAAAUGAUGAAUGUUUGGUAUCAUGAUCAAAAUGUUGAUAAAUAGUUAAAAAUUUAAGUAUCAUGUAUGAUAUGCUCAUAAUAUUGAUUGAUUUAUUCAGUAUCAUGCAUGAAUGAAAUAUAAGGUUUUUGAAAUUGUGCAUGUUCGAAUUUGAAAAUAUAAUGAUG
rnacentral:lncRNA from 1 species